UACGUAGGUGGCAAGCGUUGUCCGGAUUUAUUGGGUUUAAAGGGUGCGUAGGCGGUCCUAUAAGUAUGGUGUGAAAUCUCCCCGGCUUAACUGGGAGGGUGCGCUAUAGACUGUGGGACUAGAGUGUGGGAGAGGAAAGUGGAAUUCCUGGUGUAGCGGUGAAAUGCGUAGAUAUCAGGAGGAACACCGGUGGUGUAAACGGCUUUCUGGACCAUAACUGACGCUGAGGCACGAAAGCGUGGGUAGCAAACAGG
rnacentral:rRNA from 1 species